AGGACGAACGNUGCCGGGCGUGCUUAACACAUGCAAGUCGAACGAUGAACUUCCUUCGGGAGGGGAUUAGUGGCGAACGGGUGAGUAACACGUGGGCAAUCUGCCCUGCACUCUGGGACAAGCCCUGGAAACGGGGUCUAAUACCGGAUACGAGCCUGGGAGGCAUCUCCCGGGUUGGAAAGCUCCGGCGGUGCAGGAUGAGCCCGCGGCCUAUCAGCUUGUUAGUGAAGGUAAUGGCUCACCAAGGCGACGACGGGUAGCUGGUCUGAGAGGACGAUCAGCCACACUGGGACUGAGACACGGCCCAGACUCCUACGGGAGGCAGCAGUGGGGAAUAUUGGACAAUGGGCGCAAGCCUGAUCCAGCCAUGCCGCGUGAGUGAUGAAGGCCUUAGGGUUGUAAACCUCUUUCAGCAGGGAAGAAGCGCAAGUGACGGUACCUGCAGAAGAAGCCCCGGCCAACUACGUGCCAGCAGCCGCGGUAAUA
rnacentral:rRNA from 1 species